rnacentral:misc_RNA from 1 species
GUGAAUCAUCAAAUUUUUGAACGCAAAUUGCACUCUCUUCGGAUAGUAUGCCUGUUUGAGGGUCAGCCUAAAAAAAAUCGACGUAGUCGCUGUUUCGCGGUGACUUUCUUCGGUAAUUGCGUCAUCUUCAAUCUUUGGGUCUUUUAAGCGGCUUAACAUUUUCUUUACGUUUCCACGAUCGUUUCUAAGAUUUAUUUAUACGUUUAAGGUAUCGAUCUUUAUUAGAUGUGGCCGUUGCAUUGGAUUGGGUCUAUAC